UACGUGGGGACCAAGCGUUGUUCGGAUUUACUGGGCGUAAAGGGCGCGUAGGCGGCUUAACAAGUCACUUGUGAAAUCUCCGGGCUUAACUCGGAACGGCCAAGUGAAACUGUCAAGCUAGAGUGCAGAAGGGGCAAUCGGAAUUCUUGGUGUAGCGGUGAAAUGCGUAGAUAUCAAGAGGAACACCUGAGGUGAAGACGGGUUGCUGGGCUGACACUGACGCUGAGGCGCGAAAGCCAGGGGAGCAAACGGG
rnacentral:rRNA from 1 species